rnacentral:rRNA from 1 species
CGAUAGCUAAGACCGGAUAACUGGUUUUCUCGCAUGAGAGAAUUAUGAAACACGGAGCAAUCUGUGGCUGAUAGAUGGGCCUGCGGCGCAUUAGCUAGUUGGUGGGGUAACGGCUCACCAAGGCGACGAUGCGUAGCCGACCUGAGAGGGUGAACGGCCACACUGGGACUGAGACACGGCCCAGACUCCUACGGGAGGCAGCAGUAGGGAAUCUUCCGCAAUGGACGCAAGUCUGACGGAGCAACGCCGCGUGAGUGAUGAAGGUUUUCGGAUCGUAAAGCUCUGUUGCCCUAGACGAACAGCAUGAGGAGUAACUGCCUUGUGUGUGACGGUAUAGGAGAAGAAAGCCCCGGCUAACUACGUGCCAGCAGCCGCGGUAAUACGUAGGGGGCAAGCGUUGUCCGGAAUUAUUGGGCGUAAAGCGCGCGCAGGCGG